GGCCCUCAGGGUCACCGGCCACCUUCUCCUCUCCCGCCCUCGUCCGCCCUCCAUGCUAGCAGAGCUGUCUGAUUUGUUGCUGGAUUCCCCAGACCCCGGGGCCGAGCAGGCGCUCAAUAAAUGUUUAUUGAAUGGAUGAACAAAUGAAUGAAUCACACUAAUCCUUAAAACAGCAUUUUUGACUUUGGCACCUGGUAAUUCCCAUUUUACAGAAAAGGAAACUGAGCCUCAGAGCAGUGAAGAAGCUGCUAAGGUCAGGUGUCACGUCUGUUGGACUCCAGACUUUGCACGCUGAAGCGGGACGUGAUUCUCUCUGCCACGGAGGCCAGGACGCCAUUCUCCUCAGCAGCCCUGGGAGGACGGCCACGCGGAGCCAGUCCUUCUGGAGGUGCCAGGUUUUGAGAGAGAGAAGAGCCUGGCCCUGGAUGAGCUGCUGGUCUGCUGUGACACAGGCUUGGAACAGAAAAUGAGACUCUGUGUGACCCACAUUGGACCAGAGUGAUGCCCAGACUGUGGGGACCACGGGGAGGGCCCCUGCCUCGGCUGGGGACUUGUCAGCAGAAAGGACUGCCUUGUGCUAAGGCUCUGAGGCUGAGUCUGCAUUGCUCAGGAAUAGGGGGAAAGGCAUCUGGGCACAGGGAACAGCCUAAACGUGUGGAGGUCAGAAACUGCCCAGUUUGUGCGCAUGUGUAAGGAACUAAAAGAGGUUGGUAUUACUGAACCCUAAAUAAAAGAGGGGUGGUAGUAGCGGGAAACAGAGGCAUAAGAGGGAUAUAGGUUGUUUAGCAAAGGCCCCAAAUGCUACUGGAAAACUCAGGGUUUAUUUUAUUCCAGCUCAGUGCAGGUUUCGUGAGCCGCCUUGGAGGAAGGAAGGUAGAAUACGGCCUACGGCUCGGCACACAGCAGCCUACGUGAGUCCGCUGCUUUGCUAAGCACGCCUGUCUCAGACACAAAGCUGUGUGCUUCCCACGGGAAUAUUCCUGUCUUCACUGGGACCUGAGCUUUGGAAGGACGUGGGAGGCACCAGGCUGACAGGGCACGGCCCAGCCUCUGUGAGCUCAGCGAGUGUGGUGUGGGCUGGAGUGGUGCCUGGGAUCUGGGCCCAGGAUGCUAGGGGAGGGGGCGACCCACUGGGUCGGAGUAAGCAGAGACAACAGCAUCGCCUGCUGCAGGAGCCCAACUACCUGCGGGAGCGGAGCAGCUGAGCUCCACAUACGGGCCUCAGUCCGGCCCCUCUCCCCAGCCAGGGGGACCUUGGGCAAGGUCAGUAACCCCCGUACCUCCGUUUCCCCACUGGCAAAAUGGGGAUAAUAACCACAAAGGGUACUGGGAGGAUUAAAUGAAGGAACAAGUGCAGAGCCAAUGGCAGUUGUUAGCAGGCUGGGUUCACAGGACGAACACGCUUGUCGUCAGAGCCGGGAGGGAAGGGCCCUCCAGAAGAGGGAAGAGCAAGUAAACAGGCAGGGCCCAGGGGAAAGCCCGUUGUAUUUUAGUAACAUUGCUUAGCUUCAUUUUUACCUAUAUAAAUAAUACCUGGAUACGGUCGUAUUAUAAAAAAUUCGCGUGAUAAAGUUGGGGCUAAAGUCCCCGUUGCCCGCCACCCCCGGACGUAAGAGACUGAUCGCAUCAGGCAUGCGUUCUUUAGAGGCCUCCUAUGCAGUGACACGGGGCCUCCUGUGGACCAGGCUAUGCGCAGAGUUCACAAUCAGGUUUGGGGCCUGGGCCUCACGCUCCCAGAGGUAAGUGAGUCAAGGAGGCUGGCUCCUGCGCAUCUGCCACCCGCGGGCGCCCCACGAGGCUGUGACUCAGUGACUCACUCCCCUGCACCAGGAAUCCAUCACAGGUGGCUGACUCAUGCCAGCACACGCUGCGCUGAAGAAAGCAAAGACGAUGCUUUUAGAGCCUGUGACUGAGGAACCGACGUCAGUGUCUCUGAUGGAUUUUAAAAACACACAGAUGGAGCCAGGCGCCAAACCCCAGCCCAUUCUGCCCUCCUCCUGCGGGGCUGGGUGAUUAAGCGAGGGGUCAGGGCUGCCGGGGGCUGCUGGUGCAGCUCGGAACAUGUGAACUCUGACAUCUGGCUGCUGGCCAACUUCCUGAUGGAUGGAUAAGGAGGCCACAGGGCAAGGGUGAGCCUGACACUGGGAGAUAAAGGGCUGGGGGCCAGCCACCAACCUCGCCUGCCCUUCAGUGCAGCUGGCUUUCUCAUCUGAGCACCCUGGACUGAGAGCUUCUCGAAGGUGAGCAAACCACGGCUCAGAAAGGCUAAAUUGCCCAGAGUCAUCUAACCAGCGAGCGUCGUAGCCAGGAUUCUCGACCACAGGGCCCACCGCGCCUGGUUUCCUCCUGCCUGUCAUCUGCUCCUUGUCCUACCUUCUGUCACUCUGCUCCCCAUCUCCCUACUUCUAAACCCUGGAGCGCACCAAAACUCAGCGCUCACACCGCAUUCCUACAGCGUCCUGACCUUCUUCCAUUUCUGGUGCCAUCGACCCUUUGCCAGUCUGGUGACGCCUAUAUUUUAAAUGCUUAGAAUGUUCUGAAUGCAUAAAAUACAUAGGAUCACAAAGGAAAGAAAUGAUAUUUAAACAGAAUUAAAAUAUUUUAAAAAAUAUUUGAAUAUGCUUCCUUAUUAAUGCAAUAAACAACAAGAUCUGGCCACAGGUCAACUCGUUACUGUAAUUUCCAAGUGGUGGCGAAUAUAAACAGUACCUUGAAUUACCUGUGACAGUUUUAAAGGGAUAUAAAUAUCGGCAAUUUCUACUGGUGACAAAGUCACAGGUGCUGCUAAUGCUACUCUGGUUUGUUGCCUACAUUCAUCCUUGAAGAAAAUGCUAAAUUUGAGUUUGAGUUUAGUAAAAAUAAACAUGUCCUUUUUCCCCCACCAAGUUCACAGACCGUGGAAUUCAGUUCUCACUCCUUGGGGUAUCUGAACCCUCUCCUUAGGUAAUCCAGCUCAGAUCAAUGAUCCUCGGGCUCUAGUGGCAUCUGAACCCCCUGGAGGGCUUGUUAUAAGAGUCAGCGGCUCUGGGCGGGGCCCGAGAAUCCGCAUUCCUAACCAGUUCCCAGGGGAUGCUGGUGCUGCUGGUCUGGGGGCCCCACUCUGAGCAGCACUGAGCUAGACUUGUCACCUAUUCACCGAUGACUCCCACAUUUACAUCUCCAGCCCAGAACUUCUCUCCAGAAGUAGACGUCCAGCUUCCAAUUUAACAUCUCUCAUGGGAACCCCAAAUGAAAUGUGUCCAGGAUAGAACGAGCAAUUCCCAGCCCCACCGCCCAUGGAAUCCGUGCUUCCCCAAGCUUCCAUAUCGAGAAAAUGUCAAGACAGAAACAUAAAAGGUUUCUCUGAUUCCACUCUUGCCCUCAUCCAACUGAUCACCGAGUCCUGCUGCCUCCACAUCCCUCAUCUGGCCGCUGCCCUUCCGACUCCAUGCCACGUCCACUGCCCAUGACCUCUGCUCCUGGCCGCUCCAGUGCGCCCCCACACGGCUGCCACAGCGAUCUCUCUAAGGGUCUGCAGUCCAGUAGAACGUUCUCUGAUGAUGGAAACGUUCUACAUCUGUGCUAAUAAGGUAGCCACUAACCAUGUGUGGGUACUGAGCACUUGAAAUGUGGCCGGUGAGACUGACGGACUGAAUUUUAUUUAAUUUUCAUUAACGUGAAUGUAGCUAGCGGCUCUGUGUUAGAAAGUGCAGUUUUACAGCAUAAAUCCGACUACACUGCCUCCCUGAGUAAAACCCUCAAAUGGCUCCCGUCACGGCCGCCACAAAAUCCAGGGCACAGGAAAGACCCUGUGUGGCAGCUAACAUGCAGAGCCCCCAGGA